CCAGGUCUAACCACUAACUGAGGUCUAAACCAGGACUAAAACAAGACUAAACCAGGAAGUACAGAUACAAGCUCUAAACAUUGGCAGAGACACCCUGGCUGAUAUAGUCAAACACUAUGAGGAGAAUGGGGCAAGACCACGUUUGAGGAAGAAGCACUCAUUGCCACGUCCACCAGCCAGGUUCAUCAGCCCUGAGGAUAUCAACAGAGUUGUGGACUUCAUAAAACACUAUGCAGAAGACAAUGCCAUCAUGCUGCCUGGCCGACAGCCUGGGCAUAAGGAUUGGCAUGUGAAGUUGCUGCCAACUCAUGUGUCCAAGGCCUCAGUGUGGCGUCUCUACGUGAAGUCUGCUAAGGAGCUUGGUGAGCGUGCAGUUUGUAAAACCAGCUUCAAAGCACUGUGGAACCGACUUCUCCCACACAUCAAAAGUUGCCG